GAUGAACGCUGGCGGCGUGCCUAAUACAUGCAAGUCGAGCGAACAGAUAAGGAGCUUGCUCCUUUGACGUUAGCGGCGGACGGGUGAGUAACACGUGGGUAACCUACCUAUAAGACUGGAAUAACUCCGGGAAACCGGGGCUAAUGCCGGAUAACAUUUAGAACCGCAUGGUUCUAAAGUGAAAGAUGGUUUUGCUAUCACUUAUAGAUGGACCCGCGCCGUAUUAGCUAGUUGGUAAGGUAACGGCUUACCAAGGCAACGAUACGUAGCCGACCUGAGAGGGUGAUCGGCCACACGGGAACUGAGACACGGUCCAGACUCCUACGAGAGGCAGCAGUAGGGAAUCUUCCGCAAUGGGCGAAAGCCUGACGGAGCAACGCCGCGUGAGUGAUGAAGGUCUUCGGAUCGUAAAACUCUGUUAUUAGGGAAGAACAAAUGUGUAAGUAACUGUGCACGUCUUGACGGUACCUAAUCAGAAAGCCACGGCUAACUACGUG
rnacentral:rRNA from 1 species